AUGAAGGACCUAGGUGUGGCUGAUGUUAUCCUGAACAUCAAGCUACUGAGAAAUUCUGAGGGUGGAAUUACACUUUUGCAAUCCCACUAUCUUGAGAAGAUUUUGAGCCAUUUUGGAUAUUCGGACUGCAAACCUUCUGCAACACCAUAUGAUCCUAGCGUGCGGAUUCGAAAGUUCGAAGGUACGGCUGUAGAUCAAUUGAGAUAUUCUCAAGUGGUUGGUUCACUGAUGUACCUAGAAUGUGCUACUCGUCCUGACAUCUCGUUUGCUGUGUGCAAACUGAGCCGGUUUAUUUCCAAUCCGGGAGAUGUGCACUGGCAUGCUGUUGAGCGAGUGAUGCGUUAUUUGCAAGGUACUACGAACUAUGGAAUUCACUAUUCUGGGUACCCGACGGUACUUGAGGGGUAUAGUGAUUCGAAUUGGAUAUCUGAUGCUGAUGAGAUGAAAGCCACUAGUGGACAUGUCUUCACACUUGGUGGUGGUGUUGUUUCCUGGAAGUCUUGCAAGCAGACGAUCUUAACCAGAUCGACUAUGGAAGCAGAACUCACAGCAUUAGACACAUCAUGCGUCGAAGCAGAAUGGCUUCGACAGCUUUUGAUGGAUUUGCCGGUGGUUGAUAAACCAGUGCCGGCUGUCUUUAUGAACUGUGACAAUCAAACAGUGAUUGCCAAGGCUAAGAGUUCAAAGGACAACAUGAAAUCCACAAAGCACAUAAGAAGAAGAUUGAAAUCUGUCAGAAAAUCAAGAAACUCUGGAGUAAUUGCGUUGGAUUAUAUCCAGACGACUAAGAAUCUGGCAGACCCUUUUACGAAAGGGCUAUCACGGAUUGUGAUAGAAAAUGCAUCGAGGGAGAUGGGUAUGAGACCCACAUGCACAAUACUCUCAAUUCUAGCAUUCUUUGGAGGAACACACCUAUGUGAGCCCGACUGCUGGUCACAG
rnacentral:rRNA from 1 species